GAUGAACGCUGGCGGCGUGCCUAAUACAUGCAAGUCGAGCGAACAGACGAGGAGCUUGCUCCUCUGACGUUAGCGGCGGACGGGUGAGUAACACGUGGAUAACCUACCUAUAAGACUGGGAUAACUUCGGGAAACCGGAGCUAAUACCGGAUAAUAUAUUGAACCGCAUGGUUCAAUAGUGAAAGACGGUUUUGCUGUCACUUAUAGAUGGAUCCGCGCCGCAUUAGCUAGUUGGUAAGGUAACGGCUUACCAAGGCGACGAUGCGUAGCCGACCUGAGAGGGUGAUCGGCCACACUGGAACUGAGACACGGGCCAGACUCCUACGGGAGGCAGCAGUAGGGAAUCUUCCGCAAUGGGCGAAAGCCUGACGGAGCAACGCCGCGUGAGUGAUGAAGGUCUUCGGAUCGUAAAACUCUGUUAUUAGGGAAGAACAAAUGUGUAAGUAACUAUGCACGUCUGGACGGUACCUAAUCAGAAAGCCACGGCUAACUACGU
rnacentral:rRNA from 1 species